AUUUCUGAUAACCAUGUGACAAUUUUGAUCUCUUUAAAAAGGUAAUAUGUUUAAUUCAGGAAUUGCGAAAAGCCUUGCAGCAGCUACAAGAAGAAUUGCAGAAUAAGAGCCAACAGCUUCGUGCCUGGGAGGCUGAAAAAUACAAUGAGAUUCGAACCCAGGAACAAAACAUCCAGCACCUAAACCAUAGUCUGAGUCACAAGGAGCAGUUGCUUCAGGAAUUUCGGGAGCUCCUACGGUAUCGAGAUAACUCAGACAAAACCCUUGAAGCAAAUGAAACGUUGCUUGAGAAACUUCGCCAGCGAAUACAUGAUAAAGCUGUUGCUCUGGAGAGCACUCCCAGGAGAUGGAAAGCCUGAGGGAGGCUCUGCUGUCCUCUCGAUCCCACCUUCAAGAGCUGGAAGAGGAGCUGGAGCACCAGAAGGUGGAAAGGCAGCAGCUUUUGGAAGACUUGAGGGAGAAGCAGUAAGAGGUCUUGCGUUUAAGGGAGGAACGUCUUUCCCUCCAGGAAAACGACUCCAGCUUACAGCCUGGAUGUCUGUCACCAAAUCCCUUUGAGCAGUGACCUGAACCACCUGGUGGCAGAGGUAUGAGCUCUGAGAGGGCAGCUGGAGAAGAGCAUUCAGGGGAACAAUUGUCUGUGACUGCAGCUGCAACAGCAGCUGGAUAGCCUGCUGGCAAAGCCAGCCUCAGCCCCUCCUCUGUUAACCAGAACUUCCCAGCCAGCGCUGACCCUGGAAACAAGCAGCUGCUCCUCCAAGGUGCUAGGCAGCAAAGGCAUUCAUGAGCUUCGGAGCAGCACCAGUGCCCUGCACCAUGCCCUAGAGGAGUCGGCUUCCCUCCUCACCAUGUUCUGGAGAGCGGCCCUGCCAAGCACCCACAUCCCUGUGCUGCCUGGCAAAGUGGGAGAAUCAACAGAAACGGAACUUCUGGAACUGAGAACCAAAGUAUCCAAACAGGAGCGGCUCCUUCAGAGCACAGCUGAGCGUCUGAAGACCGCCAACCAACAGAAGGAGAGCAUGGAGCAGUUCAUCGUCAGCCAGCUAACCAGAACACAUGAUGUUUUAAAGAAGGCAAGGACUAACUUAGAGGUAAGGAAACUACUGCACCAGUCAGAGGCACCAAGCCUGUCCCCCACCCAUCACCAUCCGUUAGCAGAUAUUGUAGGCGACCCUUGGCCUGCUUUGGCCUUCCAGGAGAAGAUUUCCAGUCCACUUUCAAGAUCACAGGUCCUCAGUGAGCUUCCUGAUAGUUUCUGUUCCCAUCACCCUCCCACCCCGUCAGCUCCUGCCCCUGUAUCUUGGUUCACUCUCACAUUGUCAUCAUCUCUCCUUUUUACUCCAAUUUUUCUUCUUUGAUGCCAAGUUCGGAGACUGGAGAAUGCAAUUCAGCUCACUCUUGAAGUUGUUAGACAUUCAGGAGUCUGCCUCUGAAUGAGCUUUUGGUAGAGGGAUCUUGAGGCCAGUUAUGUGUUCUACUGUUCAUGAAAAAGUAAAAGCAGUUUGCAACCUAAUAAACUGAUUUCACUGCAUACUCCUGGGUUAAGAACAGCAAUUUGAUUUUGGUGUAUCUUUAAGUAACAUGUCAAAAGAGAUCUGUUGUGUCUCAUUGGUCUAAAAGAGAAUUUGUUAAUAAAUAACAACUGAACCUUGGGGGGUGGGGGCGGAAUGUUACAUAUGUACCAGACAUUAUCGACAUAAAACACUAAGUGUUAAUCAUUCCCUAGGAAGUGCUUUGAAGAAAAACUUGAGGUAUAUGAAAUGGUUUAAAAAUCAGAAACUAAACCUUUUAACGUGGACUUCAAAGCUUUGCCAUAAGCAAUUCAGCAUAUUCCUAGAAAUGUUUCUAAACCAUAACCUGAGAGAAUGUUGAUCUCCAUAGUGUAAAAAUGACUUGGGCCAGUUUAACUUGCUCUUUUUUUUAUUUUUUCACUAAUUCCCUUUUAUUUUUCUCUGAUAAUUCUUCUCUUUCCUGAGCCUCUUUAGAGCAGCACUUACAGGAUUGCCUGUGUAAAGCCUUAUUCCUGUCCCAGAAAAGGUAAAAUCCCUAAGGGCUCUGCUGUGUACUCCAGCCUUGUGACCCUUGCUUUCCAGGAACCAUGCAAGAAGUGCAGCCACCAGAAGUCCUUAUAUAGGUAUACAUAGUCCUUUGGUAACAAGUCCUUUGUUAUAUAGGUAUACAUGUGCCAUGUUGGUUUGCUGCACCCAUCAACUCUCCUAACGCUAUCCCUCCCCCAGCC
rnacentral:lncRNA from 1 species